rnacentral:rRNA from 1 species
UACGUAGGGGGCAAGCGUUGUCCGGAUUCAUUGGGCGUAAAGCGCGCGUAGGCGGCUCGGAAAGUCGGUCGUGAAAUGCCGGGGCUCAACCCCGGGACUGCGUCCGAUACUCCCGAGCUGGAGGCAGGUAGGGGAGAUCGGAAUUCCUGGUGUAGCGGCGAAAUGCGCAGAUAUCAGGAGGAACACCGGUGGCGAAGGCGGAUCUCUGGGCCUUGCCUGACGCUGAGGCGCGAAAGCUAGGGGAGCGAACAGG